GCGAAUGACGAGGAGCUUGCUCCUCUGAYUUAGCGGCGGACGGGUGAGUAACACGUGGGUAACCUGCCUGUAAGACGGGGAUAACUCCGGGAAACCGGAGCUAAUACCGGAUGAUAACGAGAAGCGCCUGCUUCUUUUUUGAAAGUCGGUUUCGGCUGACGCUUACAGAUGGGCCCGCGGCGCAUUAGCUAGUUGGUGAGGUAACGGCUCACCAAGGCGACGAUGCGUAGCCGACCUGAGAGGGUGAUCGGCCACACUGGGACUGAGACACGGCCCAGACUCCUACGGGAGGCAGCAGUAGGGAAUCUUCGGCAAUGGACGAAAGUCUGACCGAGCAACGCCGCGUGAGCGAUGAAGGCCUUCGGGUCGUAAAGCUCUGUUGUCAGAGAAGAACAAGUACCGGAGUAACUGCCGGUACCUUGACGGUACC
rnacentral:rRNA from 2 species